GUUAACGUUUCCCGUCAAUUGUUUUUCUUUUAGUGAUUUUAUUUUAUUUUCUCUCCAUUUCCUAUCCAUUUUCCUAGAUUCUUCUGUUUUCUGAGGUUAUUACUGUACGAUACAAAGGAAUCAACUUUGUGCAGAAAAUCGGAGGGUUGGUCAGAUCGUGAACUGGGUUUUGCUUUUUCUCGGAGGUUUUAAGGGUUUGAAUUGAUUGCAGCUGUCUUAACAAGUCAUUGGUAUUGGAAAUGGACAUAUUGGGUUCUCGAGAGGUUUAUGAUCUCAGUGACAUAAA